rnacentral:rRNA from 1 species
AUUGCCCCAGUAACGGCGAGUGAAGCGGCAACAGCUCAAAUUUGAAAUCUGGCCCCCAGGGUCCGAGUUGUAAUUUGCAGAGGAUGCUUUUGGCGAGGUGCCUUCCGAGUUCCCUGGAACGGGACGCCAUAGAGGGUGAGAGCCCCGUCUGGUUGGACACCGAGCCUCUGUAAAGCUCCUUCGACGAGUCGAGUAGUUUGGGAAUGCUGCUCUAAAUGGGAGGUAUAUGUCUUCUAAAGCUAAAUAUUGGCCAGAGACCGAUAGCGCACAAGUAGAGUGAUCGAAAGAUGAAAAGCACUUUGAAAAGAGGGUUAAAUAGUACGUGAAAUUGUUGAAAGGGAAGCGCUUAUGACCAGACUUGGGCCCGGUGAAUCAUCCAGCGNUUCUCGCUGGUGCACUUUGCCGGGNCUCAGGCCAGCAUCAGUUUGCCUUGGGGGAUAAAGGCUCUGGGAAUGUGGCUCCUCCGGGAGUGUUAUAGCCCACCGCACAAUACCCUGGGGCGGACUGAGGUUCGCGCUUUAUGCAAGGAUGCUGGCGUAAUGGUCAUCAGCGACCCGUCUUGAAACACGGACCAAGGAGUCGUCUUCGUAUGCGAGUGUUCGGGUGUCAAACCCCUACGCGUAAUGAAAGUGAACGCAGGUGAGAGCUUCGGCGCAUCAUCGACCGAUCCUGAUGUUCUCGGAUGGAUUUGAGUAAGAGCAUACGGGGCCGGACCCGAAAGAAGGUGAACUAUGCCUGUAUAGGGUGAAGCCAGAGGAAACUCUGGUGGAGGCUCGCAGCGGUUCUGACGUGCAAAUCGAUCGUCAAAUAUGGGCAUGGGGGCGAAAGACUAAUCGA